rnacentral:rRNA from 1 species
AGUGAACGCUGGCGGUAGGCCUAACACAUGCAAGUCGAACGGCAGCACAGUAAGAGCUUGCUCUUACGGGUGGCGAGUGGCGGACGGGUGAGGAAUACAUCGGAAUCUACUUUUUCGUGGGGGAUAACGUAGGGAAACUUACGCUAAUACCGCAUACGACCUACGGGUGAAAGCAGGGGAUCUUCGGACCUUGCGCGAUUGAAUGAGCCGAUGUCGGGUUAGCUAGUUGGCGGGGUAAAGGCCCACCAAGGCGACGAUCCGUAGCUGGUCUGGGAGGAUGAUCAGCCACACUGGAACUGAGACACGGUCCAGACUCCUACGGGAGGCAGCAGUGGGGAAUAUUGGACAAUGGGCGCAAGCCUGAUCCAGCCAUACCGCGUGGGUGAAGAAGGCCUUCGGGUUGUAAAGCCCUUUUGUUGGGAAAGAAAAGCAGCAGGUUAAUACCCCGCUGUUCUGACGGUACCCAAAGAAUAAGCACCGGCUAACUUCGUG